rnacentral:rRNA from 1 species
UGGGGAAUAUUGGACAAUGGGGGAAACCCUGAUCUAGCAAUGCCGCGUGAGUGAAGAAGGCCUUAGGGUUGUAAAGCUCUUUCGCCCGCGAAGAUAAUGACGGUAGCGGGAGAAGAAGCCCCGGCUAACUCCGUGCCAGCAGCCGCGGUAAUACGGAGGGGGCUAGCGUUGUUCGGAACUACUGGGCGUAAAGCGUACGUAGGCGGAUGCGCAAAUUGGGGGUGAAAUCCCGGGGCUUAACCUCGGAAUUGCCCUCAAAACUGCACGUCUUGAGACCGAGAGAGGUAAGGGGAAUUCCUAGUGUAGAGGUGAAAUUCGUAGAUAUUAGGAAGAACACCAGUGGCGAAGGCGCCUUACUGGCUCGGUACUGACGCUGAGGUACGAAAGCGUGGGGAGCAAACA